GUUUGAAUUGAUCAAUUAGUUUUAAUGACAAUUAAAACUAAUUUCAAUUUUGUUUGAAUCGGAUUAAUUAGUUUUAAUGUCCGGGAAUGGUUUCCCUCGGAAGUUGUCGUUAAAACUAAUUGCGUAUUUUUUUUCUUAUUUUUUCUCUUCUUCUUUUUUCUUCUUUUUUUUCUUCUUUUCUUUUCUUCUUUUUUUCUUCUUCUUCCUUCCAUUGUUUUUCAUCAUUUUUUCAUUGUUUUACCAUUUUCUAUUAUUUUGACUACUCACUACUUCUCCAUCACUCCACCUAUGCCAUAUCCCAUAUCAUUUUGAACAACGCCACUCUCGUUUACCAUUUCUCAUUCUCGUCAACAACCAACAAAAUAUCAACUCCCAUCCGUGAAGCCCCUCCUGAUGAAGGUCAUGAGACCGAAACGCGUCGAGGGCCAAACAAAUGAAAAAGCACAAUUAACACAACUAUAUAUACUGCAUCUUCCAUGUGAUAUGCCACUCAAUGAUCAACCCACGUCGACUCUGUGAGGUUUGUUAUAGCCCCAAAACACAGUCACGUCAUCAUUCAAUGUUUCAUUAAAAAUCACAACAUCUCUCCAAUACCAUCCAUUUAUCUCCGUAAUGUAAUUUUGUUGUACUAAUGGGAUGGUUUGUCCAAGGCCAUUCCUCAUACCAUUCGACCCAUGUUCGCCUUUCUC